CUUAGUAGACAUCUAGGUAACAAAAACUGUUCAAAAUCAAAAGAAUGAAGCAUGAGACAAAGUAAAUAGGCACAGCAUCCUACCAAAAUUCCUAUCAAAACUUAAUAAUAUGGUAAAGUGUCGGGGGGAAAGGACAUCUCCCACUUCAGUUCCAACUUCUCCAGGUCCUAGGCUUGAUCAUUUAAGCUUCAGUGGCCAAUAAUCUUCUUGCUCAUGGGGCAGCAAGAGAAACAGAGCAGGCCUUGAUGCUGUGUAAGCACUGUCCAACAACAGCAAAAACCUUGGUGUGUGUCUGUGAUUGUUUUGGUCGCCAAUCCAAAACAUAACUCUGUAGGUGCUGCAAUGAAGAAAAUUCCAUCUUGAUCAACCAUUCCAAGGAGAUCACCACAUGGUAAGAGGGAAAGAAAGAAACGGCACAGCCAAAUAUACACCUAAUAAGUCUGAAAUAUCCAGCAAUAAUUCCAAAAUGACAACAACGAAAAGUAAGUGUUCACUGUGAUGC